UACGAAGGGAGCAAGCGUUGUCCGGAUUUAUUGGGCGUAAAGCGCUCGUAGGCGGUUUGGAAAGUCAGGUGUGAAAACUUCAGGCUCAACCUGGAGACGCCACUUGAUACUUCUAUGACUUGAGUUUGGUAGGGGAACACGGAAUUCCUGGUGUAGCGGUGAAAUGCGCAGAUAUCAGGAGGAACACCGAUGGCGAAGGCAGUGUUCUGGGCCAAAACUGACGCUGAGGAGCGAAAGCGUGGGGAGCGAACAGG
rnacentral:rRNA from 1 species